UGGGGGAUAUUGCACAAUGGGCGAAAGCCUGAUGCAGCGACGCCGCGUGGGGGAUGAAGGCCUUCGGGUUGUAAACUUCUUUUGCUCUGAACAAGGCAUGCCUUUGGGGUGUGUUGAGUGUAGGGGUUGAUUAGCGCCGGCUAACUACGUGCCAGCAGCCGCGGUAAUACGUAGGGCGCGAGCGUUGUCCGGAAUUAUUGGGCGUAAAGGGCUUGUAGGUGGCUGGUUGCGUCUGUCGUGAAAGCUCAUGGCUUAACUGUGGGUUUGCGGUGGGUACGGGCUGGCUUGAGUGCCGUAGGGGAGGCUGGAAUUCCUGGUGUAGCGGUGGAAUGCGCAGAUAUCAGGAGGAAUACCGGUGGCGAAGGCGGGUCUCUGGGCUGUUACUGACGCUGAGGAGCGAAAGCGUGGGGAGCGAACAGG
rnacentral:rRNA from 1 species